CGAGCCUGCUCCUUCUCGUCUGUAAAACGGUAACAGCGUGCCGGCCUCUCAAGAGUGAGACGAGGUUUGGUCAGGACGAUGGCCGUGAAAGCACAGUGUGGAGCUGCAUCCGUUUUCUCUUGACAUGUCACACAUGACCAAAAUAUGUACUCUUCAUGACUGUAGGACUGAAUUCCCUGUUUCCCAGCUGGAUGUCAGCCAGGGGCAACGCUCACCUCAGGGAGGCCAAGCAUGUUCCUUGCCCCGAGGCACCUCCAGCUUCGGAGCCAGCAAUGCUUCCUCAUUGGAUCCCUCUCGCCCUUGAGUCUCACUGCCUUCCCUUCCUCUGACCUCUAGACCCAGAUGUAGAAGGACUCAUGUGGUUAGGUCAAGCCCACAGGGAUCAUCCCCCCAUAUAAAUGCCAACUGCAAAAUCCCUUCCCAUCAACACCCAUUACUGCGUAACUGAGUAACUGACAGAAGAUGUGUGUGUACCAGGACCCUGGAAUUUUGGGGGCCAUCUCAGAAUUCUGCCUCCGUGAGGCUGAUGUUAUAGGAUUUUUAUUUGCAUUUUAAAAUUUUAUUAAAAAUAAAAGAAUUUUUAUUCUUUUUAACGGCUACAUCAUAUUCCUUUUUAAAAUAUAUGCCGCAAUUUCUUUAUCCAUUUGUCUGUUGAUGGAUGCUUAGGUUGAUGCCUGUUUCUUUCAGGUCAGCCAGCACUUGCAGUGUUGAAUUCCCUUAAGGUUUUCUUGGAGUAAUGAGGUUCUUUGAAAAUAAGGGCAGCGUCUUGGGGACGGUGAAGGGCAGCAUCUGAGGGGAACGGUCCAGUCCUGGUUGUGUCGAGCGACGGGAGAGCUGCACCCUGGUCCUGCCUCGAAGGCUCGAGAGGGCCAUGUGAAAUCGUAAGGGCUUGGACCAACGUCGAAGACAUGAGGAAGGAGCACUUCCCUCGAGGCUGUGGAAAGGGCUGGGACGACCUGUCCUCACUCUGUCCUUGUGCACACAGUGCGUUUGCCAGCUGGCCGAGGCUCUGGCUCUCAGUGGCUGUGGAGGUGUCAACUUGGAGCCCCGGCUGGGGAAUAUCACAGGCGUGCUGUUCCAACUGAAAGGUACUCAUUGCAGGACAGCACCGAUGGACACCUUGCACUGCCUGUGGCCAGCCAGGUUAUACGGCGGCGAUCAGCUGGUGAUUUUGCUGCAAAACGUUGUCAAACCCGAGGAACCUGCCAAGGCAGUGGCAGCCCUGCAAGCCUUCAGGGAUGUGUCCUGCGGAGGUGAGUGGGAAUGGGGCACAGUCCUGGGGUUCUAGGACUC
rnacentral:lncRNA from 1 species